CCUGAAGUGGGCAAGCCACCCUUUUUUUAGUUUAAUAAAUAUAUGUUUAAAAAAAAAUCUAUAUCAGUUGGAACCUGUUGCCUUACACCAGAUGGUAGUUCUUCUCCUAUUCAUCAACCCUGCAAAUGUUUGAAAUUUUUUUACUUAGACACUGCAAUAAUCGAAAGCUACCUUCAGGCAUUUUUUCUGUAAUAUAAACCCUUGGAUGGGCCGGAAAAAAAGUUUUUCGGAUCUAGCUAGCGUGGCCCGCGCGCGGCAGCCGUGGAUUCUUUAACUAAGUGUCUUAAAUCCUUUCCUAUUCGUUGUCUAUGUUUAGUGCUAAACCACUACGGAUGCAAUAUACGUAAGGCCACGUAAGGACUCCGCAAAUGUAUGGGAAAUAUAGCGGACAUUCAGCCGAUUUUUGUUUGAAUGUAAUCUGAUUGAAAUGGGGACUUGUUCAAACUAUGCAGCUGUCUCAGUGACCCAGAAUGGGAGGAUGGGAUUCUCUACAGGAAUGGUGGCGCACUGCACCUCAGCCACGUCCAGGGGCAUCUGUGCCCAUCUGGAUUCCAGUUAGACGCACUUCACAGCAAGAGGGCUACCACUUCCACCAGGCUCAAUGGGUGACAGGGAACAAUGUCUCCCCAGAGGUAUUUCAGGCCCAGGGUAUGACUGGUGGAAUUUCCAGAGGUUGGUAAUCUCAAACAGCCAGGUGUGGUUUUGCCUGCAGUGUUUGACCCCUGUACUGAUUACUGACUUGAACAUGGCCUCUGUAAAGGUGACUGGGAGCGCAAAAUGUCCGGAAGAGAGGUUUGGACUCCAGGACAUUGAGCAAGUGUGCUCUGCUCUUCCCCUCAACUGACAGAAGGACAUGCUGAAACCGGUGGAUCGUGAACAUGCUUCUAUGGUGCAAAGCUCAUGUGCAGACCCCAAUAGCCUCCUUCACACAACCACCAAACAGGAAGGUAUAUUAAACACCUGGCCAAAUAAAAAAAAAACAGUCCUGAAAAUCUCUUGGAGAGCCAACAACUGUGGCAGCACUUAACCAUGGAAAGUGACCCAACCUGUGUCUCAGUAACUGUGCUGCCACCUGCAGUUGUGCCCUCACAAUAUGCUCCUCUCACUGAAGCUGCAAUUGAGAAGAUUGUUAUUGGACUGAUAGAAAAGCAGCAACAAUCAGAGCAACAACAGAACAAAGAAAAAAAUUACAAGAACCUGCCUUUCAUGUUGCCAACUCAAGUCCUUUUACACGAAUGAUGGCUCCUAAAAUUUUUUUCUUUGUUCAGUGAGCAUGUUAGGUACUUUUACUGCUCCACAAAAGUAUUUAAAACAUAUGGAGCAGGGGGCCUCACAACCCCCAAAAUGUAUUAUGAGGAUUUACUGUCUACCCCGUUCUUUCAACAAGACCUUCAAUUGACAAAAUGGAACAACAGAAAGACAAGCAGAUGUGGCACACUGGCCGUUUGUGCUGGUUCUGUCAUUUGGAAGUAAAACAGGGACCUAACAGUCCUCACAUUCAUUCAGGGUUCCCCGGACUGGCAGGGAAAUAUAUUUAUGGUUGUCAAUUUACCAGGCCAAGGGUAUGGAUAAAGAAAUUACCUGGAAGGAGUUUUUUAUGAAGAUGAGAAGAAGGUUCAAGUUCAAAAGGUUUAUUUGUCAUUUGCAAUAACAAGUUACGGCAAUUAAAUGCUUGGUUUUCCUACUCCCGACAGUGCAGUUAAAAGUUAAAAAGUAACAGUAACUAAAAUAAAUAACACAAUCAAUCAGUAAUAACACUGUACAAAAACACAUCAAUAAUAAUAACUACACAACUAUACAACCAUAGUGCAAUGUAAAAUUGACAGGUGUGCAUGAUAUAAAGUGACAGAUGAGCAUGGGACUAUGGAUGGAAGGGAGGAGGGGUUCCUGAGAAGAUGGAUGGAUAGAAAGAGGAAAUAAUAUUGAUUUACACACACA
ensembl:lncRNA